UUCAUUGGUUGGAACAAACUCUAUCCAGACUAAUGUUCCCAAGAAUACAAAUCUUUAACAGCACACAUUGAAUAAAUGAACACCCAGUUUUUAGACAUUUAAAUCUGCAGUUUUCCUGUCAUUCUUGGCAUUUAUUUUGUGCACAUCCUGUUCCCAGAUCACUGACAAGCACAAACAUGAGACUGGAGGCUUAUUAGAGUUGCUUCAAGAGAUUCGUAUCUGCCAGGACGACCUGGCAAGACAGAUUCUGGCCACGGAGAGCAAACUGGAAACUACAGAGGCCUGUCUCCAACACCUGCAGAUGCUCAGCCAGGAUCAGAGCCUUCAGGAGGCAGAGGCAGCCACAGAGGAACAAGAGGAUACUGGUAAUGAGGAGUUCAGUGACAUAGUCUAAAAUGUUGGAUAUUUUGGUGCGUCACAAUUAGAAAACACUAUCAAAUAAAUGACAUGAGGACUGUGUUAUUGUGUAUACAGGUUCAUUUAGUGAGACUAAACCCAUCUUUGACUGUACUAGUGACAUAUUAGGUAAUAACACUAUGACAAACCAUAGUGAUGUUGUUAGUUAAGGGUGGAAGCAGGAAAAAUGCUGUAUUGUAACAUUAUUAGCUGAUUAUAUAUGUGUGUGUGUAUUAGGACUUAGAGACUCAGAGUUGUGUCAAAUCUUGGUGAAUCGCUAAAUACAAGAGAAAGAUUCAUGCUAUAAUCUGCAUUAGAGAAUUCCUCCGUUAACUAAGGAAAAACAAAUAAAUUAAACAACAGAAUGCAUCACCAGGUAGGUUUCAGAGCGAGUAUGUGUGAUAGUACUUGAUAAGGACAGUGAAGUCAAUAAGAAUAUUAGGUCCAUUCUUUUGUUUUGCAAUUGCAUGCAAUACUUUCUCCCUAAGAUUUUUGAAAGAAUCCAACAGAAAAGGUAUGCGGAGGAAACAAACUAUACGGUCAUUUAGCCAAGGUGUUUUUUUCAGCCUAUGGUCUGGAAGUUACUUGUGAUUUACAGGCAGACAAAGAUAGAUGGGUCAAACAGAUGGAUCCGUCCUCCUCCACAUGGAGCCUGAGAGGCGUUUGGAGACUAAAGAGAAACUGGAAGAACAGCAGAUCAGCUUAGACCAGGGUACUAGGUCUGUUUUUUCAGGGUAGUAACGACCUUUCUGUAGUAGAACAUGCUAAGGAGGAGUCUUUCCCACUGAAACAUGGACAGAGAAAUCACAGUAUCUGUUAUGGCAGAAGAAAAAUCACACAGAUGACAAGACAUUUGAAGGUGAGUGUUCAACUGUUGCCAAAUACACUGGACAAUGUUGCACAAACAACGUAUGCAUGAACAUACAAUUCAAACCAAAAACCUACUGUGCAUUUAGUAACAAAGCCAAAUGCUUUUUUUUCUAUUUACUUUUUUUUCUUUUAAACAAUUUUAAAAAUUUAAUUUGUUCUCAGGCACCAGUGAAUUGAGCUGCUGCUCAGGCGAAAAUCAAUACCAUCGAACUGCCGAAGAAUCUGCAGACAGAAGGGAAACAAAAGACAUUCUGGAGAAAGAGAAAACGGAGGUACAUGAAAUCCAGGAGUUGUCCAACGUUUUGGAGAAGAGUGCAGAGUACACCUGAAACUAGAGCAAAGGACACAAGUUUCUCAAAGAAAGACAGUACGCCUUCAAACAAACUCUGGAGAAGUUACAUAAAGGAAGACCUGCCUUCAGCAAAGAUAAAAGCAAAGGGAGAGAUGAGAGUGGAAACCCUCAGCAGAGGGAUCCAGGAACUUUCUAUUGGAGAGAAAAAAAAAAGAAAAACACGAUGGAAAUCCAUGACAGAUAUGAGGAUGGGAAAACAUCAGCUGUAAAUAAUUAUAUAUAGCUAUUAAAACUGCCACAGCUGCCUAAAAAGGCAUACAUGUUUUACAGUAGGAAUAGUAAACGGCUUUUUCCUUCAUAUUUUGGUUAAUGGUUUAUCUCUGAAUAAAUUUAGUGACUUAGACCCUACAUGCAAUCUCUAUAUUCUUUAUUUCUUGUUCCAGUUUUUCUUUAAAAAAAUGAAAACACACAAAAAGGAUUCAUUUUAUUUUCAUUUAUUCAAAAGCGGUUUUAACAUUUUCAGCUCACCUUAAAAUAGCAAUCAACUUAAAAAAUAAUUACCAAAACAAAAGUGACAUAACAAUAGUACAAUAUGAAAUAGCCAACGCCCAAAUGCACUGCAUUUUUAGAUGCUGACCUAAGCAGCAAACAAAAAAGGAAACAGAUUUCCCUCAA